AGUGAGCGGCACAGCUCAAAUUUGAAAUCUGGCGUCUUUGGCGUCCGAGUUGUAAUUUGCAGAGGGCGCUUUGGCAUUGGCAGCGGUCCAAGUUCCUUGGAACAGGACGUCACAGAGGGUGAGAAUCCCGUACGUGGUCGCUAGCCUUUACCGUGUAAAGCCCCUUCGACGAGUCGAGUUGUUUGGGAAUGCAGCUCUAAAUGGGAGGUAAAUUUCUUCUAAAGCUAAAUACUGGCCAGAGACCGAUAGCGCACAAGUAGAGUGAUCGAAAGAUGAAAAGCACUUUGGAAAGAGAGUUAAAAAGCACGUGAAAUUGUUGAAAGGGAAGCGCUUGCAGCCAGACUUGCCUGUAGUUGCUCAUCCGGGUUUUUACCCGGUGCACUCUUCUACGGGCAGGCCAGCAUCAGUUUGGGCGGUUGGAUAAAGGUCUCUGUCAUGUACCUUCUCUCGGGGAGAUCUUAUAGGGGAGACGACAUGCAACCAGCCUGGACUGAGGUCCGCGCAUCUGCUAGGAUGCUGGCGUAAUGGCUGUAAGCGGCCCGUCU
rnacentral:rRNA from 1 species